AAAAUAAAUUACACUAACAAUUGGUCAUUUUCGUAAUUAACAAAAUAAACCCUUCUUUCUACUACUUUUCAUAACAAAUUCACCAAGUGUUGCAAUAUUAUUGGUCCGAUUUUAUUUUUCCCUCUUCCCCUCAUUUCAAAAUCAUACCCAUCUCUCUUCUUCCUCCUCAUUAAUUUCGUUCUCUCUCUCUUCUUCUCCACUCUCUUUUCUCUUUAAACCCUAAAACCGCCGCCGCCUCCGAGUCACCUCUCACCUCACCCCACGCAACGCUCACCACAGCAAUUGGUUUUGGAACAUGAAAAGCUUCUCCUGGUGUUGUUGUUGAUGUUGUUGUUUCUGUAGUCCAGGUAGUUUUGAUAACUCGGCUGCUAACUCUCUUGCUCGCCAUAAAUUUCAUGUUGAAUCUGAAGCUGCUAUCAACAAACAAAUCAUGGAAACCCAAAAUCCCCAUCCCAUGCUUGUAAUCGAUGGAAUGGUGUUGUUUGAUGCGCGGUUUUUCGGGGAGAUGAUGAGAAAUACAUUGGCUGUAACUCCUGCUGCCUGCUGCUGCUCCUGUUGUUUUGUUGUAAAUCGAUUUUGCAUUUGAUGAUGCUGAUGGUGUAGAAGAAUGAACAUUUGUUACUGUCAUUAAAAGAAGGAAACAACAAAGUGAGGAAUCCAUAAUACAUGAGAAGGUUAGUUUAAGCAACAAAAUAUGGAGUGAUCAUACUAGGUAAAGCUUUGUCGCCUCUCAUACUAGGUAAAGCUUUGUCGCCUCUGUUCACCUCUCGCUUCUCCGUUCAAACUCAGGUACGCAAUACAUCUUUUUAAACGAUGGCUUUCCAAUGUCUUCAAGUUCAGUUUUAAUUAAUAUAAGUAUUGUUUUGAAAAUAAAACACGCUCUUCUCUAUGUCGCUAAGAUUGCUAAUGACAGAAAUUCAUAUUAGAAACAACAAGCACAUGAAGAUCUUGCCGAGAUUGAUGAAGAUCUGCUUGUGAAUUCUGCCUCAAAUAAAUUGUAUUCAAGUGAAGAGUUUCACUCCAAGAAUCCAGUAUCAUCUUUGUAGAAUUUCACAAAUAACUGCAGCCCGAAAUUGAUGCUUGCUUCAGCUGAUAUAUGAUAUGAUAAUUCAGGAUCAUUUCCUCACUGACAUGCCCAUUGUUUAAAGUCUACCAGUGUCGAUGUUCACGUUCCAAUUUAACAAGCUCUGUGAAUUUUUUAGGUGUUAAAAUAGUAACAGUAUGACUAAUGUUAUGCUCUCCUGUUUGUUUUAACUAUUAUGAUUUUACAUAUGUUUGGUUUGUUUUAUUUGUACUGCAUUUCAUUUGAGAACACGGUGGUUCCUUGCAAAGUUAUGGGGGAAGUGUUUUAUGGAAUGGGAUAAGUAUCGCGACAAGACCAAAGAAUACAAGUUUAGAUUGGAGGUUAAAUCGAUGCAAGGUUUUCGAUGAAUUCAGUACCCUGCUAACCUUGACAGCUUUAGGGUCUCCACUAUCUGAAGAAGAUAAGAAGAUUCUUAUAGAAUAAAUUGAUCAACUACUUCCAGUGCAGAAGGAUACCUGGCAGAGGUUGCUCCUGCUGUUCUAGAGUAUGCCAUGCCUUUGGAUGAUGGUUUAUAUAUACUUUGCUAUAAAUAUUUAUUUGAAGACUUUUACGAACUAGCAUCUGGUUUUAUGAACUUCUUUUUGGGUGCACUGAAAAUUAUGGGAGGGUACUAUCCAGGAAGGUUAUGCAUAGCCUUUGUGAAGAUGCUAACUAUAAUUGGUUUUUAUAGAGGCGCUUCUGGUUAUGCUGUGUUUAUGUUUAAGACUAGGAGUGAUUUGGAUAAUAGGUUGUGGUUAGAGGAAAAAUUGGAAGUGAAAGAUAAAAAUAGAGAUGAGUUUUCAUUGUUGAUAU